rnacentral:rRNA from 1 species
AUUGAACGCUGGCGGCAGGCCUAACACAUGCAAGUCGAACGAGUGGCGGACGGGUGAGUAAUGUCUGGGAAACUGCCUGAUGGAGGGGGAUAACUACUUGAAACGGUAGCUAAUACCGCAUACCCUCAGAUGUGCCCAGAUGGGAUUAGCUAGUUGGUGGGGUAACGGCUCACCAAGGCGACGAUCCCUCGCUGGUCUGAGAGGAUGACCGGCCACACUGGAACUGAGACACGGUCACGACGCCUACGGGAGGAAGUAGGGGGGAAUAUUGCACCAGGGGCGCAAGCCUGAGGCAGCCAUGCCGGGUGUAUGAAGAAGGCCUUAGGGUUGUAAAGUACUUUCAGCGGGGAGGCGUGACCCGCAGAAGAAGCACCGGCUAACUCCGUGCCAGCAGACGCGGUAAUAC